GCGCAUCAAAACGAUUCAAAACAUUAAAAAAAUUAUUUUUUAGUAAAAAUAAAUUUGAAUUUUUUGGAAACACGGGUUAGCCCGCGUUUCCAAACACUGCCUAAAACGUUAAAGACUGUUAUUGUGCAAAUUAGGGAUUUAUUGUCAAUACAUUAAUAUCGAUUCACGAAAAUGAUAGUCGCCACAAUUAUUACUCACUAAUACUUGAUCUCUUAUAAAUUUAUCUGCGACUUAGAUUCAGGGAUUGGUUCAUAUCUCAUGUGACUCGUUUUAUUGAGUCUAAUUUGCUAAGAAAGGCCUUUCAGUCUAUUGCAUGCUGGAUUGUGUGGGAAAAUGGCAUAAAACUUGUUAUCUUGUGUCAAGACUCGCAUAUUGCUCUUGAUGAAGAUGAACCUGAUAAGCC
rnacentral:lncRNA from 1 species